rnacentral:lncRNA from 1 species
AGAGAGAGUAACGGAGAGAGGAGGUCGCCGGAGCCUUCUCAGGCCGGCGGCAGUGGCGGCGAAGAUUAGGAAGAAGGAGAUGGAAUGAGGAAGAUGGGGGACAGUUUUGUAAUUUAACGCUUUCUGAUAAAUAAUUCGCUGGGAACUAAUUUGAUGUCGGAUUGUAAAAUAAAAUUCAUAUUUGGAUUCCUUGUGAAAAGUUAGAUGGAAUGAGCUUUUGAAUCAAAUGAUUUGGAUGAAAAAUAAGGGAGUUAUGAGUGGUCAAAGUUUGGCCAUGGGUGUUGACUUCGGGGAGAGAGAAACUAGAUGAGUAUGUUGGAGAAGAUGAUGACGUGGCAUCUUCUGAUUGGUUAGAAUAUUGAAAAUUAGUAUUUAAUUAAUUUGAGAGAUUAAACGAGGAAAUUAGUAAAAGUGUAAAACAUGAAAGUUUAAAUAUUUCGGAUUUAAUGGUAAAACCUAAUUUUGGGUUCGAGAGAUAUUAAAUUAAUUUAUAUUAUGGUUGAUUUAAUAAAUAGUUAGUUAAAUUGGAGGAUUUAGUUAAUAAUUGAAUAAAACGAAUAGUUUAGAAAAAUGAGACUUUUGGGAUAGUAACAUGAGUUAGUAAGGAAUAUUUUGCUUAAAUUAAUAAUAAGAGGAGAAUAAAUGAGAAAUGAUCUAAUAGUAAUAUAAAAUGAGGAAUUAUAAGUAGAUUUUACGAGAUCAUCGUUUUAAGAUAAGAUUCUAAUGUAUUAUUUUGUGACAUAGAAGAUUGAUUAUCUGGAAGGCGAGCUUGAUUAGUCAACUUAAAUUGGAACGUGGUGCGCUGUAAGUAUAUACUGUACCCUUCACUGUGAUAUUUUAUGAUGUUUCGGUGAACAUUUUAUUGAUGAUUUUCUGAUGAGAAAUGAGUAUUCUUACAUUUGUUCUGUGUGUGAUGCUUCCUUUGUGAAGUAAAGUAUGAUACUUCCUCCGGGAAGGAAAGCUAAACCAAUUGUUUAGCUGGCCGGGAUCCCCAACAGUAGAAUCUGUGAACUUUUGAACGUGUCUGAAUACUCAUACUCAUCUUCUUGUGUGAAACUGUUUCGAUGACUCUGAUGAAAUAUUGAUUUGGUUCACCAAGUUUUGUGAAUAAAACUCAAUUAAAAUGUACGUAUAUGCUUACUGAGCUUUAUAAGCUCAUCCCUUUUUAUGUACUAACCUUACAGGGAAGAAUUCUGGAGAAGGAUACUCAGGCAAGGGUAAAAGUGUGAGGAAUCGAAAUGCUAGACUUGGUUGGAUUUGCAAGUAGAAGUUUAGUAAAAGUAUUAUGUAAUCGAAAGAAAUAUUUGUGAACUUUUUGAAGAGUGAUGUAAGACUCUGAUGUAAGGUAAAAUAUGCCUUUAAGUUAUAUUAAGUUUGAGAUUAUGAAGAUAUAUUUCGGUGUGUUCAGUAGAAUGACACCCCCGGGUCGGGUUGUUGAGGUCAUCCCGGGUCGGGGGCGUCACAGGUGGUAUCAGAGCUGUAGGUUCAAGAAUCUGCGAAAGUAGGAUUAAAAUAUUAAGACUAGUGUGAUUUUAAGUUAGAAAAGAGGUCUAGAGAAUAUAUGGAUACUUGUCGUGAAUGUGUGGAAUAGACUAUGUGUCUAUAUAUACUAUAGUUGGAACCCUUAGAGUUUAAGGGACGGUAGAUCCCGUUGAGGCCAAGAUAUGGCUAAGAGAAAGGAAGACUUUUGAAAUAGUUGGUGUAGAAGAGGAUAAGAAAAUUAUCCUUGGUGCUUAUUGCUUAAUGGAGAGGCUAAUUAUUUGUGAGAAGCUAAGCAAGUUAUAGAAGAAUCUAGUGUGAUAUAGAAAUAACUGACCAGGAAGUAAUUAUAGUAGAUAAGGUUUGUCCUAGUUGUAAGAUAACCGUUCAAAAGAAAAUCUUUGAGAAAAAUUUUAUUUUCUUGAUAUUUUUCAAUCCGAUUGGGAUGAACAACCCUAAUCAUAGGGGACACAAGGUAUACCUGUCUGUGUGAUAGGAGUUGGAUGGGACGCCAUCACUUGUGUGUGUUGUGAUUACAAGAAGGUUAACAACCUUUAGUAGUGUCUUAAUUUAGACACGCAACACUUAGUUCAUUUGAUCAUAUUGGUCUCCCAGUCAUCCUUUUUAUUUCAAAUGAAAGUUAUUUGGAAACUCAUUGAUCGAUGAUUACCAUUGUGAAAGACUUCUAUAUAUUCAAGAAAGUUUUCAAAAUUCUUAUUUCCUUUGAGUUCUUUUCAAAAUGCUCAGAUUUCAAAUCCUUUGAUUUUGGUUAUUUUCAAAAAUAUAGUUUGUUUUGAAAAAGUGCUUUAAGAAAGUGUUGUAUGAUAACAUCAGAUCCAGACCCACGAAUUUGAAGGCUGCUGCAUAUAUUAUUGAGAAUUAAAUAAGAUGACCCUUGACCUACGGUUGAUGAUUUGUUUGACCAAUUGAAGGAAACAUCUUACUUUUCUAAGAUAUACUUGAGGUCUGGAUAACAUCAGUUAUAUAUUAGGCUUGAACCUAAGGCGGCCUUUAGGACCCGACAUGAACAUUAUGAGUUCUUAAGAGAUGCCUUUCGGACUGACUAAGGCACCUAUAUAACAUUUAUCAACCUUAUGAAUAAGAUGUGUUCUUAUACAACAUGAAAAAGUGAUAGCAUAUGCUUCUAAGACAACUUAAGAACUACGAAUUGAUAUACCUUACCCAUGAUCUCGAGUUGGCUGCUACAGUAUUUGCAAUAAAGAGUCAGUGACAUUAUUUGUGUGAUGAGAAAUGUGAGAUAUUUACGGAGUAUAAGAGUUAAAAUACUCAUUUACUCAAAAGGAGUUAAUAUGAGACAAAAAGAUGGUUAGAAUUAAUAAAGGAUUAUGACUGUAUGAUUAAUUAUCAUCAAAGGAAAGCAAAUGUAGGUUCUGAUGCAUUAAAUAGAAAAGAAAGAGUUAUAUUAUGUCUUUAUGAAAGAAAUUUUAAGGAAACAGAAAAGUUAGGAUUAGAGAUUAGGAAUUCAGAGCAUAAGGAGGGAAGGAUUUAUGAGAUGUUAGUACAACCAGAGUUAAUAGAAGCUAUGUGAGAAUUAGAAGAUGUAAUGAGAAGAAGCUACUCAGAGUUGUUUAGCACCAAUCGGGAUUCCGAGGACGGAAUCCUUUUAAGGAGGGAAGAAUGUAACAUCCGUGAAAUUUACAAUACGUAAAAAUACAAUUAUUUGAUUUAAUUAUUUAUUAUGCAAAAAGGACUAUUUUAUUAGUCUCGGAUUUAAUAAAAUUUAUAAUGCCGGAAAUAUUAAGGUUGUAGUUGUAAGAUUUCUAGAAAACGUGAAAUAGUUGUUGGUGUGGACCGGUCGUUUAAUUUAAAUAGGUACGUUAACACGAGAUCUUCGUUUAUACGAAAAGUAUAGUUGACGCGAAUAUUUAUAUAUUUACCGAAUCGUGAAUAAAUAUUACGUUCUGGCCGAGGUGAUUAUUUUAUAAAUUUGAGGAUUGGCUAGAAAAUAUUUAAAAUAGUUAAUAUUAUUUUGUAUGAUAUAUAAUUAUUUUAAAUUCGCGUUUAUUAAGAUCGAUACGAGAAUAACCGAGCCGAGCCAGAAUUAUUAAAAUAUUAACGGGACGGACUUGGAGCCCAAGUCUAUUACUUGGCGCCCACGAAUUAUACUUGGGGACAAAGCAACUUUAUUAAUAAACUAUAUGUUAAUUAGUAAUUAACUCUUAAUGGUCAGAAGAUUAGUUAUGGUAUAAAAACAAAACAAACGUGAGAAUUUGCAAGAGUGCAGAGGAAAAAGAAACUAAAGUGAGUGAAAAAAAAAAAAAAANNNNNNNNNNNNNNNNNNNNNNNNNNNNNNNNNNNNNNNNNNNNNNNNNNNNNNNNNNNNNNNNNNNNNNNNNNNNNNNNNNNNNNNNNNNNNNNNNNNNNNNNNNNNNNNNNNNNNNNNNNNNNNNNNNNNNNNNNNNNNNNNNNNNNNNNNNNNNNNNNNNNNNNNNNNNNNNNNNNNNNNNNNNNNNNNNNNNNNNAAAAAAUGAUCAUAAUAUUCUUAAUUCACUGUAUAAAUAAGCAAAAAGGCCACUGUCUAGAAGAAGACACACAUCAAUCAUAUAAUUAUAAUAAUUACAGAGGGAGACAGACGGGGAGAGAGGGAGAGAGAGGAGAGAAAGGGAGAGAGAAGGAGAGAGAGAGACAGUACAGGGAGAGAGAAUGAGAGAGACAGGGAGAAAGACAAAGAGAGGAAAGAGAGAGAGGGAGAGGGAGAGAGAGAGAGAGAGAGAGUAACGGAGAGAGGAGGUCGCCGGAGCCUUCUCAGGCCGGCGGCAGUGGCGGCGAAGAUUAGGAAGAAGGAGAUGGAAUGAGGAAGAUGGGGGACAGUUUUGUAAUUUAACGCUUUCUGAUAAAUAAUUCGCUGGGAACUAAUUUGAUGUCGGAUUGUAAAAUAAAAUUCAUAUUUGGAUUCCUUGUGAAAAGUUAGAUGGAAUGAGCUUUUGAAUCAAAUGAUUUGGAUGAAAAAUAAGGGAGUUAUGAGUGGUCAAAGUUUGGCCAUGGGUGUUGACUUCGGGGAGAGAGAAACUAGAUGAGUAUGUUGGAGAAGAUGAUGACGUGGCAUCUUCUGAUUGGUUAGAAUAUUGAAAAUUAGUAUUUAAUUAAUUUGAGAGAUUAAACGAGGAAAUUAGUAAAAGUGUAAAACAUGAAAGUUUAA